rnacentral:tRNA from 1 species
UGCCGGGUCGUCUAAUGGUAGGACAAGCGCCUCUGAAGCGCUGAAUCUUAGUUCGAAUCUAAGCCCGGCAA